rnacentral:rRNA from 1 species
CCUACGGGAGGCAGCAGUGGGGAAUAUUGCACAAUGGGGGAAACCCUGAUGCAGCAACGCCGCGUGAGUGAGGAAGUAUUUCGGUAUGUAAAGCUCUAUCAGCAGGGAAUAGAAAAGACGGUACCUGACUAAGAAGCCCCGGCUAACUACGUGCCAGCAGCCGCGGUAAUACGUAGGGGGCAAGCGUUAUCCGGAUUUACUGGGUGUAAAGGGAGCGUAGACGGAAAGGCAAGUCAGACGUGAAAGCCCAGGGCUCAACCCUGGGACUGCUUUUGAAACUGUCGAGCUAGAGUGCUGGAGAGGUAAGUGGAAUUCCUAGUGUAGCGGUGAAAUGCGUAGAUAUUAGGAGGAACACCAGUGGCGAAGGCGGCUUACUGGACCGAAACUGACGUUGAGGCUCGAAAGCGUGGGGAGCAAACAGGAUUAGAUACCCGGGUAGUC